rnacentral:rRNA from 1 species
CACGUAGGGUGCGAGCGUUGUCCGGAAUUACUGGGCGUAAAGGGCUCGUAGGCGGCCAACUAAGUCAGACGUGAAAUCCCUCGGCUUAACCGGGGAACUGCAUCUGAUACUGGAUGGCUUGAGUUCGGGAGAGGGAUGCGGAAUUCCAGGUGUAGCGGUGAAAUGCGUAGAUAUCUGGAGGAACACCGGUGGCGAAGGCGGCAUCCUGGACCGGUAUUGACGCUGAGGAGCGAAAGCGUGGGGAGCGAACAGG